GCUAGGUCGGGCCAGGAGGAACCGCAGCCAGAGGAGGGGGAGGAGGAAGAAGAGAAGGAAGAGGUGAGGGGGCCGCGGUGGCGACUCAGCGCUUGGAAGCCGGGCUUAUGGACCGGUGAGGUGGUGGUGUGCGCAGACAGUGAUCUAACCGCGCGCGCGCCCCAGGCCCUGGCCCCAGUCUCUGCUGCGGGAGGAAGAGGAGCCCACCAAGGCGCCAAGGAGAGCGGGCCGUCCCGCAGCCAGAACCCAAGAGGGAGUGCGAGCCACGCCGGCCAGGGUCGGGUGUCCGAAACCAUGAACUUUCUCCUC
rnacentral:other from 1 species